rnacentral:rRNA from 1 species
CCCUUAGAUGUUCUGGGCCGCACGCGCGCUACACUGAUGCAUUCAACGAGCCUAUCCUUGACCGACAGGUCCGGGUAAUCUUUGAAUCUGCAUCGUGACGGGGAUAGAUUAUUGCAAUUAUUAAUCUUCAACGAGGAAUGCCUAGUAGGCGCAAGUCAUCAGCUUGCGUCGAUUACGUCCCUGCCCUUUGUACACACCGCCCGUCGCUCCUACCGAUUGGGUGUGCUGGUGAAAUGUUCGGAUCGGCCGUUUGUCGCGGUUUCCGCGUCAUGUGGCUGAGAAGUUCAUUAAACCCUCCCACCUAGAGGAAGGAGAAGUCUUAACA